rnacentral:rRNA from 1 species
GACGUAGGGCGCGAGCGUUGUCCGGAAUUAUUGGGCGUAAAGGGCUCGUAGGCGGUUUGUCGCGUCGGGAGUGAAAACCCAGGGCUUAACCCUGGGCUGGCUUCCGAUACGGGCAGACUAGAGGUAUGCAGGGGAGAACGGAAUUCCUGGUGUAGCGGUGAAAUGCGCAGAUAUCAGGAGGAACACCGGUGGCGAAGGCGGUUCUCUGGGCAUUACCUGACGCUGAGGAGCGAAAGUGUGGGGAGCGAACAGG